rnacentral:rRNA from 1 species
GGUCUCAGUUCAGAUUGCAGGCUGCAACCCGCCUGCAUGAAGUCGGAAUUGCUAGUAAUCGCGGAUCAGCAUGCCGCGGUGAAUACGUUCCCGGGCCUUGUACACACCGCCCGUCACACCAUGGAAGCCGGUAAUACCCGAAGUCAGUAGCUUAACCUUUUAGGAGGGCGCUGCCGAAGGUAGGAUUGGUGACUGGGGUGAAGUCGUAACAAGGUACC